GUCAGAUUCUCCGCCCAUGGACGGGCAAAACUAGAUGCAGGCGGGGUCAACGAGUGUAGUGUAGAGGAACUAUAACGACAACAUCAACGAAUUAAAUAGGUCAUACUCCAGGAUCCACAACAGGUCUCACCGCUUGGUAAAUAUGACGAGUCGACUGAAUUCUCUCUUUUCGCCAGAAGGGUUUUUUUCCCUUUCCACCCGAGCAUGCCGCAAGGAAUCAUCCUGUGGGACCCUUUUCGCUCCGUUCUCCCAAAGGGUUAUAAAACAACAACUUGAUAUUAUUCAACAUUUCUUGGGUUUGUCUGUUUCCUCUGCAAGGGCCUUGCUGGACCUGUUGUAUUUCAUGUGGCUCUGGACCAGAUGGCCAGCGGCCUGCGCAGAGAUGAGGGACAGCUCCGCGGCUAGGACCGCACCGGCAACCACCGUGGCCAAGAGCCGCGCGUUGGACCCUGGGGAUUCCCUGUUAGCACCUUUGACGCCAAGCAGGUCCAAGCAGGCAGAUUGUGAGGCCAGCUGCGUGCCUCCACCAACUGUGCCAACCUGUGU
rnacentral:misc_RNA from 1 species